GUGGGACUGAGUCCAGGGAGUAUGCAGUGCACAAGGACCCAGCUCAGGAAGGCACAGAGGCGAGGUCUGGCAUAUCCCCGCUGGAGAGAAACCCUUCAUCAACUUACAAUUCCCAGGCCAGCUUUGUCUUGGCUGUGAGAGUAUCCACAUGAUUCUGUAAAGAUAUAUGCUUGAAGGAAAGCUGGCAUCCAUCUUUGUUCCAGUUCCAAAGGUGCGGUGUUUGGUGAUUGGUGCUCCCCUGUGGCCCCUGUUUUCUAUCUGUGCACUUUUCUGCAAGAUGUUAAUUUGGAGUUCAAUUCUAUAUUACUAAUGAAAGAAAAAAAUGGAAAAAAAUCAAGGUUAGUAAAUAAAAGAG
rnacentral:lncRNA from 1 species